CAACAACUCUCAUCCAUUCUCUUUGAGUGACACAAACAUGAUGGGGUGCUCUAUGCAUGCCUUUGUUUGCAACUAUGUUAUUCUUGCUUAUGGUUCUCUUUGCUAAUGAAAUGAAGCCGGUGGAGGCAAGAAUUUGCCAGUCGGCGAGCCACUGGUUCAAAGGAUUGUGUGUUAGAAGCAACAACUGUGCUUCAAAUGUGAUUCAUAUAUAUUUGGAAUACACUAACUCUCCCGGUAGCCUUUCUCUAGGGAAGUACAUCGGUCGGUUCGAUUUAUCGUUUUUCAAUUUUUAAAUAUGCUAUAUCCAAUAACCAAAUCGACAAGAUAUGUUUGAUUUUUGAUU